AAUAACCACGUGAUAAUAUACAGUUCUGUGUCUUGAAGGUAUAUGGGAAACAUGCACGUAUUUUAAAUAUGUAAUUAUCAAAAAAAUGAAAUUAAAAAGAAAUGCCUUUGCACGUGUUUUCUGUUCUUUAUGCUCCAACUUUCCCACGUUUUUUUAAGCGUGCGUAAAUACAGUAAGCGUAAAUGCGCACAGAAUCGCUGCUGAACUCAUUGACUGUUUCCUUCACCCCGGUGAGCCUGUGCGCUCUUCCCCGAUCAACGCGCCCCUUCCAGCAAUUAGCCUUGAAACUUCCCACCACGGAGCGAGUGAAAGCUUCCUCUCCAAGCUGUGGAUCUGCUUGACGCGCUCUUCCAACCACCCCACCCAAACCAGAACACUCUGGAGAAAAAGCUACACGUGGAUUGGACUUGAUGAAAAUCCUUCUCGAAACUCACCAGACAUGACGACAGAGAUGAUGAGAAGUUUCCCUGAUCAAGACCCGUGGGGCUCCUCAAUGUCCCUUUCUGCCUCAGCACAAUGACCAAGAACGAAAAUUGUACAAAAGUCUCCAAAAAUACCAACCCAAAUCUCUUAGAGCAGCCUCAGAGCAUACAACAAUAUUGUAAUGCAGCUGGGAACAUAUUAGUUUGGGAUUUUCUCCCUCCAUGCCUACUAUUUAAAACCCUUAGAACUCAAUGAUUUGACAAUGAUUUGAUUGCGCGUUACUUUCGAUUUGAAUAUUCAGAGGCAACGGAGUUAUAUCGAUUUUUAGGCAAAAUACACUAAAUUGGUGCAUUCUAUAUGUACAUUUUUAAUAGAUGAUCACUUUAUUUUACAUUUGGAUCGAAAAUAAAUCAUAUUUCUACUCAUUUAUCCUCCUUUUGAAAGAUGACAGCAGCACACCCCCUCAUUAAGCAGGAGGGCAAGCGUGCGUCUUCUGCGCAACUUAAACACCGUAACCUCACUUUAAUCGAUCACCACAUAUUGGAAGGGCUCGCCCCAAGCGUCAAUACCGCGAUCGGACACAUUUAAUGCUUUUAUAAUGAAAAAAGCGGAGAAAAGUGGGACUCGGGUGGGCGUGGCAAAGGGCAGUAGCCAUCUUUGGAUCCGCGGGCCUUCAGCAAGUGCAGAAAGAGCAGAAACGGGUCCAAUUAUGACGUCUGAAGGGGUUCAGAUUCAACUGGAUUCCGUAUUUUAAAAAAUAGUUUUAUUCUCUUUAUUCGUUAUUGCACCUAACUAGUUAAACGAUUUUUUUUCAAUACAAAUAAAGGACACCAUGUUGACUCAUAGUCUAAAUUCACUUGUUUCAUUCAGUUUUGGCUCGUUUGCUGUUAUGCAUUUUUGGGUUUUGGAAACUGGAGUUGUUAUAAUGUCGUCUACUAAAAUGUAUACAUUGUGCCAUACUUUUGCUCAGUUAUGUUGAGCAAACGGCUCGUAUAGACAAACGGCCAUUUCCAUCAGAUCGAUAUGGCUACAAUAAUGUGACAGUAGCAUUCAAGGCAAGUUUGAGAUUUUGAUUCAGUUUUUAGGGUCACCACUAAGAGUAGUCGUUAAUUAUUGUCAGUACUGUAAUAUAUUGCAGAAGAAAUCAAUAGGUGUUCACACUUUGUGCCUAAAAUACUGUUUUGGUAAUUCAUUUAUCAGGGCUAUGUUUUAUAUUCUGUCUUGUUUUUAUAUUUUGUACUUUUCCUCAUGCAUAUUUUUAUUUUAGUUUAGUUUUUUUUUUGCGGUAUUUCACUAAUCUAAUGCACAGUACUGUACGUUUCUUGCGCGGACAAACCUCUCUCUCUCUCUCUCUCUCUCUCUCUCUCUCUCUCGCUCUCUCAGGCGAUGUAAUGUCGCCCCCUGCUGUUCAAAAAUGAGAACGUCGUCUUUCCUCGAACCCAUCCUCAGAUACAAAAAUCACGUUUCCCUGUUUAAAUCCACCCUUUUUUAUUUAAUAAAACGACAUUUGGAAUUACA